GACGAACGCUGGCGGCGUGCUUAACACAUGCAAGUCGAGCGGUAAGGCCCUUUCGGGGGUACACGAGCGGCGAGCGGGUGAGUAACACGUGGGUGACCUGCCCUUAGCUCUGGGAUAAGCCUGGGAAACUGGGUCUAAUACCGGAUAUGACUCCAUAACGCAUGUUGUGGGGUGGAAAGCCUUGUGCGGCUAGGGGAUGGGCCCGCGGCCUAUCAGCUUGUUGGUGGGGUGAUGGCCUACCAAGGCGACGACGGGUAGCCGGCCUGAGAGGGCGACCGGCCACACUGGGACUGAGACACGGCCCAGACUCCUACGGAGGCAGCAGUGGGGAAUCUUGCGC
rnacentral:rRNA from 1 species